GACACCCUUAUUUGUUUUAAUUGAAAGAGUGGAUGAGAGGGUUGUGUUUGGUUAAAGGAAUUUAGAUCAGGUUGAAUAAGCAAAUGAUCCAUUUUUUAACUGAAGGCAAAAAAGGGAAUUUAGAGCUUCGUGGUAGUUUCAAAUACUGCUGUUUGCCUUACCGGUAACAAAACCUAAUUUCUUAAGUUAUGAACUUUUUUUUUUUAAAUUAGUUCUUCCAGAAGCUCUUCACUUUGCAUACUUGAAAAAGUGAGGCCUUCAUAGAGUAAAGUCAUUUUUUCACAGAUCGCUACUAUUUUAACAUGGGAUAAGAAGCAAAGU